rnacentral:piRNA from 1 species
CCAGGCCCCCCUUGGGAUCGUAGGCUCG